GGUCCGUAGACCCAAAUAUUGGGCCGUAAUCGGUCCCGACCCGCUCCAUUGAUAGGCUGGUGGCACAAACAGCAAACCUAUGGAUUCAUUGAAGUGAAGAAAUCAAGAAAACGGAGAAGAAGCAGUAGAAUCAGUAUUGCUUGGGCUAAUAGGAAUUGAAGCAGUGUUACAAGGGUAAAAAUGAAAUUCUGGGAUUGGUAUUUGAAAAUUGCUGUUGUUUCGGCCAUGAUUGGAGGUUCCAUGGAGUUUUUCAUGAUUAAGACUGGAUUUUAUGAUAAGGUUACUGUUCUAGAAGCGGAAAAGAGAGCCUGGGAGAAUUCUCCUGAAGCCAAGGCUGUCAGAGACGCUCUUAAUCCAUGGAGACAUCAGGAUGCAGAAGCAAGAAAGGAUUCUUAGUUCUGUCACUUCGGUUAGAGAAUUAUAAGGCGACUCAGGGAUUGGCUUUGAAGGAAAAUUGUCCUGACGUAGUGCUAUUUUGAGCUUGCUCCUAUUGAUAUUUCUCAUUGAUGUUUAUUGAAGAGUGUGUUACAACUUACAACUGAUUGUUUCAUCAGCUUGGUGGUCGCUUCACUUAGCAUGUGAUGAACAAGUUCUGUGAAGGCAAUUGGGCAUAUAUCAAAUUGUAAAACUUGUGGAACCCUACUUGUUAUUUUCCUUGCUCUCUCAAGAUUAGUACUUUGCUUUCCUAGAUCUGCAUGGUUAAGAGAAGCAAUCAGUUGCACCUCUGAGAAAAAUAGUGGACUCUGAAUCUGACCGCACUUUCCUCAGGUCGAACGGCUAUCGAUCCUGGCCCGAUGAGAAAAGGGUUGAACUCAUACUUGCCUUAACCUAAUCUACUUGGAUCCCGGAUUCCAUUCCAUAGCCAUUUGACAAUAUGUAGUUAUUCCACUAAUGUUUGUUUCUCUCCCAUUCAUUUGUGUGAGAGAGGGUUGAUUUAUACCUUUGCUCCUCUCAUAGUUCCUUAAAAUGCUGAA